CAGCAGCCGCGGUAAUACGUAGGGUGCAAGCGCUAAUCGGAAUUACUGGGCGUAGAGCGUGCGCAGGCGGUUUGUUAAGACAGAUGUGAAAUCCCCGAGCUUAACUUGGGAACUGCAUUUGUGACUGCACGGCUAGAGUGUGUCAGAGGGGGGUAGAAUUCCACGUGUAGCAGUGAAAUGCGUAGAUAUGUGGAGGAAUACCGAUGGCGAAGGCAGCCCCCUGGGAUAACACUGACGCUCAUGCACGAAAGCGUGGGGAGCAAACAGGAUUAGAUACCCCGGUAGUCCCUGUCUCUUAUAC
rnacentral:rRNA from 1 species